rnacentral:rRNA from 1 species
CUGACGAGGGAAACUAAAUCAUCCUUGUUCCAUGAACCUUAAAUUAGGGUAAAAAUGCCCCAAUAACUUAGGAGGACGACAAGACCCUAUAAAACUUUACCACACCUAUCUAAAUCCCCAAAGUAAAUAAAUUAAGAUAUUAGUGGUUAGCUGGGGCGGCCAUCCCCCUCCGGGGGGUACCCUAACACCUUGAGUGAUCCUUCGAACCCCUCUUAGUAGAAAGAUCAAGUUACUUUAGGGAUAACAGCGUAAUUGGCCCGUAGAGCCCCUAUCGAUGGGCCAGUUUACGACCUCGAUGUUGAAUUGGAAUCCCAUCUGGGAGCAGCCCCUCAGAAAGGAAGUCUGUUCGACUUUUAAAUUUCCACAUGAU